UGGCUAAAUUUAAUUGCAUAAUUAAAUCUGUUAUUCUUAUUCGAAUUUGAAGAUGUAUACCAAGCUCUCUUUCUAAACUCUUCUCCAUAAUUCUUUCGAAUUUCUGUGUGCAACCCUCUCUCUUUCUCUAAUUUUUCUCUCUCCCUAAUUGAGAUAUUUGAAAUUGGAGUUAUGGGUUUGAAAGGAUUUUGAGGAAUAAUCUUUAACAUGAGAUCUGAAGAAAAUCGACGUCGCAUAAGAUGUUUUGAAAAUGGGUCAUGAUGGGUGAGCUUUAUAAUUGACUAUAAUUGGUGAGUAUGAAAAAUUUGUAGUUGAAGGUUGCAUGUGAAUAUGAAUUUCUGGAAAUCAAUUAAAGGAUAGGAUGCAUCUUGUUGGAGACGAAGAGCGAGUGAAUAAAAAAUAUUGUUUUGUAAUGAAAUCAAGAUCUGGAUUGUGGUUAGGUUUGAGAAUUGUGGAGGAAGAAGAUGAAGAACGAGAUAGGUAGGAAUUGAGAGAUAAAUCAAACUAUGUCUUGGUUUGUGGGUGAGGGUGAAUUCUUUUUUUUCUCACUUGAUAAAAAAUAUUGAGAGUGUGAUGAUAUUGCAUAACUGGAUUGGGGAAAAAAAGAUUGCAGGUUGCAGGAAACAACGUUGCUUUUCAACCUUGCUACUGAUAUUGUUUCAGAUAAGGGGGUGCAUCUAGCGAAAACAAAAAAUCAAUAUUUAGCAUUAAAAUAUGUCUUGUGUUUAUUUAAUUGGAUUUAGUACAACAAAUCCAGACCGACAGCUGUCAUUUGGUUAUCAAUUUGUGCAUGAUACACAACUCUUUUACUUGGGUACCGUAAACGCCACCACUAAACAUUAGUAUUUCUCAUUUCAGCAUUGUGACUUAGUCUUUUGAGGAUCAGUCAACCAUAAAUCUUUCAACUACUCCAUUUUAUGCGUCUGGUUGUGAGUAACUCAAAUUUUUUUUACUUUUAGUCCUUUAACUUAAUUUCAGGUAACAAUUUUGUCAUUUAUUUUUUUUUAAUUUCAGUUUUGUCCUUUUGAUCCAUUUUCAUAUGGAUUUUCAAACUUCAAAUCUAAUAUUCUUAUGUAAAUAUAGAUGAAGACCAUAAAUUUGAAGAUUGAAAUGUCAUAAGAAAAUAAAACCAUGAAUUUGAAGCUUGAAAGGACCAAAAGGACAAAAUUGAAAUUAAAAAAAAAAUAAAAAACUAAAAUAUUACCUGAAAUUAAGUUAAGAAAUUAAAGAUAUAUUUUUACCUUUUUUACGUAGAAAGAUGGAAUGCAAAAGCAUCACAACACUGAGAAUGAGUCCAACUAGUUGACACUGAC
rnacentral:lncRNA from 1 species